AUUCUGCCCAUGCGGGGAAGGAUGAGAAGCUUCGACCAAGGUGCAACUCGAGCGCCAGCGAGAAAGCGUUGCCGCAGGCAACGACCCGAAGGGUGAAGCGCGCAGCGCUGAGUAAUCCUUCCCCCACCACCA
rnacentral:sRNA from 1 species